rnacentral:rRNA from 1 species
GACGGAGGAUGCAAGUGUUAUCCGGAAUUAUUGGGCGUAAAGCGUACGUAGGCUGUUGGAUAAGUCUGUUGUCGAAGCCCGAGGCUUAACCUUGGAAAGGCAAUGGAAACUGUUCGACUAGAGAGAGAUAGGGGCAGGAGGAAUCCCAGGUGUAGCGGUGAAAUGCGUAGAUAUCUGGAAGAACACCAGUGGCGAAAGCGUCCUGCUGGAUCUCAACUGACGCUGAAGUACGAAAGCUAGGGGAGCGAAUGGG